rnacentral:rRNA from 1 species
GAUUCGUCACACUAUCAUUAACUGAAUCCAUAGGUUAAUGAGGCGAACCGGGGGAACUGAAACAUCUAAGUACCCCGAGGAAAAGAAAUCAACCGAGAUUCCCCCAGUAGCGGCGAGCGAACGGGGAGGAGCCCAGAGCCUGAAUCAGCAUGUGUGUUAGUGGAAGCGUCUGGAAAGGCGCGCGAUACAGGGUGACAGCCCCGUACACAAAAGCGCAUGUGCUGUGAGCUCGAUGAGUAGGGCGGGACACGUGGUAUCCUGUCUGAAUAUGGGGGGACCAUCCUCCAAGGCUAAAUACUCCUGACUGACCGAUAGUGAACCAGUACCGUGAGGGAAAGGCGAAAAGAACCCCGGCGAGGGGAGUGAAAAAGAACCUGAAACCGUGUACGUACAAGCAGUGGGAGCACAGGUUUACCUGUGUGACUGCGUACCUUUUGUAUAAUGGGUCAGCGACUUAUAUUCUGUAGCAAGGUUAACCGUAUAGGGGAGCCGUAGGGAAACCGAGUCUUAACCGGGCGUUAAGUUGCAGGGUAUAGACCCGAAACCCGGUGAUCUAGCCAUGGGCAGGUUGAAGGUUGGGUAACACUAACUGGAGGACCGAACCGACUAAUGUUGAAAAAUUAGCGGAUGACCUGUGGCUGGGGGUGAAAGGCCAAUCAAACCGGGAGAUAGCUGGUUCUCCCCGAAAGCUAUUUAGGUAGCGCCUCGUGAAUUCAUCUCCGGGGGUAGAGCACUGUUUCGGCUAGGGGGCCAUCCCGGCUUACCAACCCGAUGCAAACUGCGAAUACCGGAGAAUGUUAUCACGGGAGACACACGGCGGGUGCUAACGUCCGUCGUGAAGAGGGAAACAACCCAGACCGCCAGCUAAGGUCCCAAAGUCAUGGUUAAGUGGGAAACGAUGUGGGAAGGCCCAGACAGCCAGGAUGUUGGCUUAGAAGCAGCCAUCAUUUAAAGAAAGCGUAAUAGCUCACUGGUCGAGUCGGCCUGCGCGGAAGAUGUAACGGGGCUAAACCAUGCACCGAAGCUGCGGCAGCGAACGUAUCACCCAAGACAACUUUACGGAGUUGACGAUUGACGGAGCGAAGCGACGUCAAAGCGUUCAUUAAAGUCGAGUUGGCUUAGGGAUACGUUCGUUGGGUAGGGGAGCGUUCUGUAAGCCUGUGAAGGUGUGUCGUGAGGCAUGCUGGAGGUAUCAGAAGUGCGAAUGCUGACAUAAGUAACGAUAAAGCGGGUGAAAAGCCCGCUCGCCGGAAGACCAAGGGUUCCUGUCCAACGUUAAUCGGGGCAGGGUGAGUCGACCCCUAAGGCGAGGCCGAAAGGCGUAGUCGAUGGGAAACGGGUUAAUAUUCCCGUACUUGGUGUUACUGCGAAGGGGGGACGGAGAAGGCUAUGUUGGCCGGGCGACGGUUGUCCCGGUUUAAGCGUGUAGGUGUGUGUUCCAGGUAAAUCCGGUUCACUUUAACACUGAGGCGUGACGACGAGGCACUACGGUGCUGAAGCAACAAAUGCCCUGCUUCCAGGAAAAGCCUCUAAGCAUCAGGUAACAUCAAAUCGUACCCCAAACCGACACAGGUGGUCAGGUAGAGAAUACCAAGGCGCUUGAGAGAACUCGGGUGAAGGAACUAGGCAAAAUGGUGCCGUAACUUCGGGAGAAGGCACGCUGACACGUAGGUGAAGUGAUUUACUCAUGGAGCUGAAGUCAGUCGAAGAUACCAGCUGGCUGCAACUGUUUAUUAAAAACACAGCACUGUGCAAACACGAAAGUGGACGUAUACGGUGUGACGCCUGCCCGGUGCCGGAAGGUUAAUUGAUGGGGUCAGCGCAAGCGAAGCUCCUGAUCGAAGCCCCGGUAAACGGCGGCCGUAACUAUAACGGUCCUAAGGUAGCGAAAUUCCUUGUCGGGUAAGUUCCGACCUGCACGAAUGGCGUAAUGAUGGCCAGGCUGUCUCCACCCGAGACUCAGUGAAAUUGAACUCGCUGUGAAGAUGCAGUGUACCCGCGGCAAGACGGAAAGACCCCGUGAACCUUUACUAUAGCUUGACACUGAACAUUGAGCCUUGAUGUGUAGGAUAGGUGGGAGGCUUUGAAGUGUGGACGCCAGUCUGCAUGGAGCCGACCUUGAAAUACCACCCUUUAAUGUUUGAUGUUCUAACGUGGACCCGUAAUCCGGGUUGCGGACAGUGUCUGGUGGGUAGUUUGACUGGGGCGGUCUCCUCCUAAAGAGUAACGGAGGAGCACGAAGGUUGGCUAAUCCUGGUCGGACAUCAGGAGGUUAGUGCAAUGGCAUAAGCCAGCUUGACUGCGAGCGUGACGGCGCGAGCAGGUGCGAAAGCAGGUCAUAGUGAUCCGGUGGUUCUGAAUGGAAGGGCCAUCGCUCAACGGAUAAAAGGUACUCCGGGGAUAACAGGCUGAUACCGCCCAAGAGUUCAUAUCGACGGCGGUGUUUGGCACCUCGAUGUCGGCUCAUCACAUCCUGGGGCUGAAGUAGGUCCCAAGGGUAUGGCUGUUCGCCAUUUAAAGUGGUACGCGAGCUGGGUUUAGAACGUCGUGAGACAGUUCGGUCCCUAUCUGCCGUGGGCGCUGGAGAACUGAGGGGGGCUGCUCCUAGUACGAGAGGACCGGAGUGGACGCAUCACUGGUGUUCGGGUUGUCAUGCCAAUGGCACUGCCCGGUAGCUAAAUGCGGAAGAGAUAAGUGCUGAAAGCAUCUAAGCACGAAACUUGCCCCGA